GAUGAACGCUCGCGGCAGGCCUAACACAUGCAAGUCGAGGGAGAGGUUACCUUCGGGUCACCAAAACCGGCGCACGGGUGCGUAACGCGUAUACAAUCUGCCUUUCACAUAGGGAUAGCCCGAAGAAAUUUGGAUUAAUACCUAAUGGUAUAUAAGAGCGGCAUCGUUUUUAUAUUAAAGCUACGGUGGUGAAAGAUGAGUAUGCGUUCUAUUAGCUAGUUGGAGAGGUAACGGCUCCCCAAGGCGACGAUAGAUAGGGGUUCUGAGAGGGAUGUCCCCCACACUGGUACUGAGAUACGGACCAGACUCCUACGGGAGGCAGCAGUGAGGAAUAUUGGACAAUGGUCGGAAGACUGAUCCAGCCAUGCCGCGUGCAGGAGGAAGGUCCUAUGGAUUGUAAACUGCUUUUGUAAGGGAAGAAUAAGGAGUACGUGUACUUUGAUGACGGUACCUUACGAAUAAGCAUCGGCUAACUCCGUG
rnacentral:rRNA from 1 species